GCUUAACCAAAAUGAAAGUUUUUUUCCCGAGGUUCCCUCAUGGAAAGGGGGUGCGGAGGGGGGUAACCGGGGUACCCUCCCUUAGAGGGGGAAAACCUGGAACCGGGGCUAAUCCGCAUACCGUUUUGCCGCAGGCAUAAGAGGAAAGGGCCUUUCGGUUUCGCUGAUGGAUGACCCCGGUGCCUUAGCUAGUUGGUGAGGUAACGGCUCACCAAGGCCACGAUGCAUAGCCGACCUGAGAGGGUGAUCGGCCACACUGGGAAUGAGACACGGCCCAGAUUCCUACGGGAGGCAGCAGUAGGGAAUCUUCGGCAAUGGACGAAAGUCUGACCGAGCAACGCCGCGUGAGUGAAGAAGGUUUUCGGAUCGUAAAACUCUGUUGUUAGAGAAGAACAAGGACGUUAGUAACUGAACGUCCCCUGACGGUAUCUAACCAGAAAGCCACGGCUAACUACGUGCCAGCAGCCGCGGUAAUACGUAGGUGGCAAGCGUUGUCCGGAUUUAUUGGGCGUAAAGCGAGCGCAGGCGGUUUCUUAAGUCUGAUGUGAAAGCCCCCGGCUCAACCGGGGAGGGUCAUUGGAAACUGGGAGACUUGAGUGCAGAAGAGGAGAGUGGAAUUCCAUGUGUAGCGGUGAAAUGCGUAGAUAUAUGGAGGAACACCAGUGGCGAAGGCGGCUCUCUGGUCUGUAACUGACGCUGAGGCUCGAAAGCGUGGGGAGCAAACAGGAUUAGAUACCCUGGUAGUCCACGCCGUAAACGAUGAGUGCUAAGUGUUGGAGGGUUUCCGCCCUUCAGUGCUGCAGCAAACGCAUUAAGCACUCCGCCUGGGGAGUACGACCGCAAGGUUGAAACUCAAAGGAAUUGACGGGGGCCCGCACAAGCGGUGGAGCAUGUGGUUUAAUUCGAAGCAACGCGAAGAACCUUACCAGGUCUUGACAUCCUUUGACCACUCUAGAGAUAGAGCUUUCCCUUCGGGGACAAAGUGACAGGUGGUGCAUGGUUGUCGUCAGCUCGUGUCGUGAGAUGUUGGGUUAAGUCCCGCAACGAGCGCAACCCUUAUUGUUAGUUGCCAUCAUUUAGUUGGGCACUCUAGCGAGACUGCCGGUGACAAACCGGAGGAAGGUGGGGAUGACGUCAAAUCAUCAUGCCCCUUAUGACCUGGGCUACACACGUGCUACAAUGGGAAGUACAACGAGUCGCUAGACCGCGAGGUCAUGCAAAUCUCUUAAAGCUUCUCUCAGUUCGGAUUGCAGGCUGCAACUCGCCUGCAUGAAGCCGGAAUCGCUAGUAAUCGCGGAUCAGCACGCCGCGGUGAAUACGUUCCCGGGCCUUGUACACACCGCCCGUCACACCACGAGAGUUUGUAACACCCGAAGUCGGUGAGGUAACCUUUUUGGAGCCAGCCGCCUAAGGGGAAGA
rnacentral:rRNA from 1 species